rnacentral:lncRNA from 1 species
GUCAAUGAUUUCUGCAAUUAUUGUUGUAGUUUCCGGAGUAUCUGCCCAUUUCGUGUAACGUGGGUUGGGUGCACUUGAAUCCAAGGCUAAAUGAAUAAAAUUGCUCGGUUAUUACAUGAGAUUCACGCAUGCAAAACACUUCACUUCUGCUGAGUGAAUCAGUCUGUAUAAGCUUCAGAUCAACACAAGCUCCUGUUCAUUUUUUAUAGCUAAGUCAUACUUAAAACUCCAAUUUUUAUGUGCCCAAAUAGCGAGCGGAGGAGCCUUGCAUUGCUGUUCCAUGUGACCAACAAUGUGUGGUUACGAGAAUGAUGCACACUUGCAGUUGUGUCACAUUUUCUAACUAGACCCAUAUGAAGUUUCCUUACUGAUGUUGCAUCAACUACCUAUAAAUCGUCACUGUUGUUCCUGGUAAAUCGCAGGAAAUAGUCUUGUGGCUCUAUGGUUAUUUCUUAGAAUGUGUUCUGCUGCAAUAGGAAGAUUCGAACAUGAAGUAACCCUAGUUAAAUCUGUCGAGUUCGCCAUUCUUCCUGAUUCAAUGCGUGACAGAUACAUGCAACUUCAAUAUUAAAGAAUGAUAGGGAAUCAAGCCUCACCGAGAAAGGUUGCAGGGUGGCAUGCAGUGUGAAGAUCAGUGGAACGAUGAGUUUUCCCUGAUUAAUCGGCUCGGAAGAGACAUGAGCGCUGGCAGAAGUCCUCCCAUCAGCAAUAGGGAUUAAAUGAGGUAGGAAAGAUGAAUAAACAAAAUUGCGAAUUGAAAAACCCUUAGAACGCGUAGUCUUCAACCAAGUGAAGGAGGUAGGGCAAUUCGACCUGAAGAAAUGAGCUUGAGUGAACGAGAGGUUAAAUGUAGUGGUUAUCCAAUGUUAUGGUGAGUGCCGAAGAGCCACCAAAUCGAUUUUGGGUACGUAAAAGUAACCCCUACUCGACAUCGACUCUGUCAAGUUCAAGUUAGCGAUCGAAUAAUCUCAUUCAGUAAUUCACGGGAAUGAUACCACCGGCCAUGAGCUGUGAUGGGGGGUUUCAAUAGGAUAGUACCUGCAGUCCAUCACGAAAAAAAUAUGACCACAGCAACUGUUAAAUCGGUGCUGAACACAAUUCUAGUAAACCAGCCGCGUCCUCUUCCAGCCGAAACCUUCAGUGGCACAUUAGGGUUGGAUAUUGUCUACAACGGAUUGUGAAAUUGGACCCUUCUGAAGGUGAGACCAAGUUGCUUGGUGCGGCAAACCAAGCUAGUUCAACGGUUACAAUUCCCUUCAAAAAUUUGAGAAUUCCAUGGACACGGACGGGAGACUCUCUGAUCAUCCGACAUUCAUGUAUCUCAACCUAAUCUCACACCAACACGAUUCAAAUCAACUUGUACGAAACCCCGCUUGAAUAGUGACGCAGGCAAUACCUCGUCGUGACAUUGCCGAAUUCAAAAUAAGCUGCGAAGGGUUGAAUCAAGCACAGUGGCU